UGCUUGUUGGAGAUGCUCCCCAGCCCCUGAGUUAUGGAUCCUGCUUCCGGCAGGUGGGCGGCUCUUCCGCCUACGUCUCCAGGCUGGGGGGGCGGCCGGGCUCCCUGAGGGUCUGGCUCUGGUGGGGCUGGGCUUGGGGUCUUGGGCAGCCCGCUGACUCACUCGCUGGUGCAAUAAGUACCUCACACGAGGCCCCGGCUCCCUGCGCUCGUGUUUCAGGAAAGCCCAGCACGGGAUGGGAGUGGGCGGUGAGCGUGGCUGAGGCCCGAGGGCCGGACGUCCUGCAGCCUGGCUGGGCGCCUCUCGGGCUCUUCUCUCUCUGCCCCGGCCCGGAUCCCUCGGGCCCUUCUGGGCCCAUCCCUGGUCACGGGGGUGGGACGCAGUUAAGAGUCCGCCGUCGGAGGGCACGGUGUGCUGGGUGGGCGUGCAGGUCAGGGAGCCGGGGCCCCGGGACGGUCCCUUCCCGGCUCCCCUUCUGCCACCCUCACAGUGAAAGGGGCCAAGGAAGCCUGGCACAGGGGAGCGCCCCAGGGGACCGGCCCAGAGUCGGGCAGAGCCCCCCACCCCGGUCACUUGUCUUUGCUCGUGUAGGCCCGGGGCCUGGGGCAGGGCUUGGCAAGGACUAGGAACUCAACUCCUGCCUGCUGGUGGGCCCCGGGAGGUCGGGGGUCACUGGGCAAGCAGGCCGGCUUCCUGGAGGGGGAGGCACUGAGGGAACCGGAGAGCAUCAUGGGAAGGGUGGGAGGGAGGACCGCAGGCGGGGAAGCCGGAGGCACCCUUGGCCCAGGAGGGGAGCCCGCAUAACGUUCUUCACACACGUCCCCGGGACUUUGCUUCUGGGCCCACAGCAGCCCUGGGAAGUGCCGGGAACCGAGCCUGAAGUCACGCCUCGGGUCCCUGGCAGGGUCCCAACUCCGGCCUUGCUGACACAUCCGGGCCUUUGCCCUCAGUACCUGGGGCUCCUGGGGCCCAUUCUGGCCCGGAGCUUCCUGCGAGGGGACGAUCCAGGAGGCUCCCUGCAAGGCAGCGCCAGGGCCGCCGCCGUGUUUCCUCUCCGGGAACGGAAGCCGGCCCAGGGCAAAGGCCGCGGCUUUUGGCUUCGCAUUCCCAGAGCGUUACAUACAGCAGGCGCUCAAUAAAUGCUCAUUGAAUGACUGAUUCCGAUCGCGCUCCUCCGGAUGCUCUGCAGUCUACCGGUGACUGACAGACCGUCGGACAGACGGCAGGGGGUUUGCAGGGGCUUGGAAGCCGAGGCCCCGGCGCUUCCACAACUCAGGGGCUGGGGAGCAUCUCCAACAAGCAGUCAGGGGUCCGGGCCAAGGCA
rnacentral:lncRNA from 1 species